AUUGAACGCUGGCGGCAGGCCUAACACAUGCAAGUCGAGCGAGCGGCGGACGGGUGAGUAAUUUAUGGGGACUGCCCGAUAGAGGGGGAUAACUACUGGAAACGGUAGCUAAUACCGCAUACUAUCGGAUAACCCAUAUGGGCUUAGCUAGUAGGUGAGGUAAUGGCGCACCUAAGCGACGAUCCCUAGCUGGACUGAAGAUGAGCAGAUACACUGGGACUGAGACACGGCCCAGACUCCUACGGAGGCAGCAGUGGGGAAUAUGGCACAAUGGGAGCAAGCCUGAUGCAGCCAUGCCGCGUGUAUGAAGAAGGCCCUAGGGUUGUAAAGUACUUUCAGUCGGGAGGCGUUACCGACAGAAGAAGCACCGGCUAACUCCGUGCCAGCCGCCGCGGUAAUUC
rnacentral:rRNA from 1 species